GUGCCAGCAGCCGCGGUAAUACGGAGGGUGCGAGCGUUGUCCGGAAUCACUGGGCGUAAAGGGCGCGUAGGCGGCUUGGGAAGUCCGUGGUGAAAGCUCGUGGCUCAACUGCGAGUCGGCCAUGGAUACUCCUAAGCUCGAGUCGACUAGAGGCAGAUGGAAUUCCGGGUGUAGCGGUGGAAUGCGUAGAGAUCCGGAAGAACACCGGUGGCGAAGGCGGUCUGCUGGGGUCGAACUGACGCUGAGGCGCGACAGCGUGGGGAGCAAACAGGAUUAGAUACCCUGGUAGUCC
rnacentral:rRNA from 1 species